AUAUUUCAAAACUGAACUUAUUGUUUUAAUUUUGACAGAAAUUAGUCUCCCAUUCGGAUAUAGUCAUUCAUAUUUGUUCAUUUUGUUCUGUUUGUUAUACGCAAGAUAUCAAAAAAUCAUUUAGAAAACAAUAUGAUAUUUUAAUAUUUUAUUAGAUUAAACACAUUCAUUUAUGAUAUAUAUAUAAUGAGUAAACAAAUGAUAUAACAAAAUUAAACAUGAUAAAUAAUAUAAAAACAGUAAAGUUUAUUUAAAAGUUAUAAUAACCAUCUAUAAGUAUCAAAAUAAUUCAUAUAUAACAUCUAUAUAUAAAAAAAAAAAAACCGUGGACGAUACGUCUUCACAAAGUAUGGCCGUUUUUGUCAUAUGGCCGUUUCAUCUUUUCGGGGUAUGGCCGUUUCAUCCUAUGGACGUCAUGGCAGUAUGGCCGUCACGUCCUGCAUCGCUCUGGCGCACCAUCAAUAAAUCAACGACACUCUCUCUACCGUGGUAUUGAAACCAGCAUUGGUAACCAAACAUAUUCAUACAGAUACAGACUACCAUUCAUCUACAUUUAGGAAGUCUGAAUAAUACUGAAAACUAUGGUGCAGAAUUUCCAACAGGACUCCUUAUUUUAUAUAAGACAAGGAGUGGUUUAUUUUCCCAUGGUUGUUACAUCAUCUUGUCUUUGAAUAUGCUCGAAGUACAGGGACUUUUAUGGAAUUCAUUGACAUGAUAGUCAAGCAAGAUGUCAACAUCUCGUCCAACCCUCUUCCAGCAAAGCCAAAGCUGACCAAGGAUCUUCACCCUUUCAAAACAGGCUGUAUACAGGACGAGUUAUUCCAGUAGGAACAGGGCUAUAUAUAUGCAAGCAAUGCUCAAUUAAGAUGAAUUUUUGUAAAAGUGACAAUAGCCAGGUCAAACUAAAUACAUGUAUAGAAGAAGAUAUUGAUCUAGACUCGCAGCUAACCUUUCUGUCAGUGUCAACAACAACUGAACUUUCACAGCAGUCAACAUCAGAUUGGGAGACUGAUAAUGCUUCUAACAGAAACAAUUUCAACCAACCAAACAAGCAACAGAAACUUUCCAACUUUAAAACAUCAGUUAAAUCCAUGGGAUGUAUCUCAAAAAAUAACAGUUCAUCAUUUAUGGAGAUUUUAAUGUUAUGGUUUUUCUUUUACAAGAAAGUUAAUGUACACUUGUUUUAUAGUAAAACUUAUAGCCGUUCAAGUAUAAAAAAAACACAUUCAACUUUAUUGAAAUUUGAAGAUUCAUAUGACUUAUUUUAAUUCUGUUAUCUCCGAGGAUGUGAUGUAGAGCAUUAUAGGUACAGUAAUCUUAACAGCUAUCCAAUUUCAUUCAAAAUUCUUUAUAAAUUUUGCACUGGUAUAUAUAGACUAAGUAAUUUGUUUUUCGUCUAGUUAUGGGAUUUUUUUUAGAAGCAUUUAUGAUUUUCAUGUUUGUAUUGACCACAUUGCAGCAACAUAGAUAUAGGUACCUGGCAAAUCUUGCCUUGUUAGCAUACUAGGCUCAAAGGGUCAUAAAAAAAUUUCCAUCACUAAGUGUCUGUUAAAAUCAUCUGUUUACAGUUUUCACUUUUAAACCAUCAUCUUAAUAACGUUAGAAGAAGUAUCAUACAUAUAUAUAUGUAUACAAAAUUUAAAAACUUUUCAAUAUAUAUAUAUAUAUAUAUAUAUUGAUAAAAACUAUCAACAUGACAAGAUCUAGAUACCCAAAAUUUUUCUGAAAAAUUGGACAUAACAUCUAUGAGCUAUUGUCCCUGAAAUGUGUAAAUUUACAAAUUUUCACAGUUUUCUGCUACUAUCCGACAACUAUAAAAAUAUAUUAUAAGAAUAAAUUGCAAAAGUGGUCAGAAGAAACUUUUUUUUUACAGUCUGAACUUAUUCUGAAUUGUUUAACUUCUAAUUUAAAUUGAUUGCGUUUGAAAUAUGUGUUUUUUAUCGUUUUAGGUGCACAAUUUGUCAAUACGAUCUAUUUCGGCUCCUGGGAGCCUCUAGAUUUAUAAUGAAUAAUUUGUAUUUAUGUAUGAUUAUUUUCUUAAUGUAUUAAAUGAAACAUUAAUUAUUCUU